rnacentral:rRNA from 1 species
CCCUUAGAUGUUCUGGGCCGCACGCGUGCUACACUGGUGAAUACAACGAGUAUUACGACCUUGGCCGAAAGGUCUGGGUAAUCUGAUGAAAGUUCAUCGUGACUGGGAUUGAUCCUUGCAACUAUUGAUCAUGAACGAGGAAUUCCUAGUAAAGGCAAGUCAUCAUCUUGCUUUGAUUACGUCCCUGCCCUUUGUACACACCGCCCGUCGCACCUACCGAUUGAAUGUUUCGGUGAAGAUUCCGGAUAGGACUUUUUUGAUUUAUUUCAAUUUUGUCUUAAAAGCUAUCUAAACCUCAACAUUUAGAGGAAGGUGAAGUCGUAACA